AUGGCCUAGCUACAGAGAAAAGUCAAAGAGCACCUUGAAGCCUAUGAAGAAUGGACAGUGGGAUGAGCCUUAGGAAAAGGAAGAUAGAAGAGAAUAAAGGGAAGAAAACAGAGGGUUCCUAGCAGCAUGUCAGACUCAAUCGGAACCACCCUUACACUAUCAAUUUGGGACACUCCAGAAGCAAAGGGCCCCAGUCUUGAUGGCCUGAGGGCCCCAAGUCCAAGGGGCAGCACUUGGCAGAGGGACAAACACUGGAUAAUUAUUUUGGCCCUGAUUUUGGUGUUCUCAGCUCUGCGACGUUAGGCAAAUCAGCUAACCUCUGUGACCCUCAGCCUUUCCAUGCAUGAAAUGACAGUAACAAUGGCUCCCUCACAGGUGCAAGUAAGAAUGGAGAGAUCAAUUUUGUUUAGGAAAACAUCUUAAUAAACCACGUGGAAGCGUGGCCAGCAAUGAGACUCUGAAGUUACAAGCCAUCAAUAACCAAGACCAAAACCUAGAAAACCAAGUUUGAAAAAGCCAGAGUCCCAUAGAGGGUGGUUCUAUGAACUAGAGCGAGGAGGCUGAGCCUGGACACUGUGACCAAACCAUGGACUGUUCCCACAUUCUACAACCUGCAUUCAUUCCUUGUAAAUCUCUUGAUGAAUUUUUCACACAUUCUGGCCUCAGUUAUGUGGAUAUGGUCCCCAAAAGAUGUGAAAGUCCUUACUGGGGCAAAAGAACUCUUUCUCUCCCCUGUUGAGGUUUGAGUCUUCAAAAUGAACUGAUAAUAGACUGAUUAACUGGAGAAAAGGCAUAUAGACUUAUCAAGUGCAUGGAGCAUCACAGGAAAGUGAGUACCCAAUAAUCCAACAUGCUGUAUCAAUAGAAGUUUAUAUACUCAGAUAAUAACCUGGAACAAAGUUCGUCUGGGCUCUGGGUGUGGCGUCAACUCUAACGUUCCUUCCUGCGAGUCAGUCUUCCCUGUUUGAUGAGAUUAUAGGGAGUGGGGCUCAAGUCAGUUGCUUCCUUCUGGAGGAGCUUCCCUUAGUCAGAUACGGAAACUUCAGAAAAAGUGCUUCCCUUUGUCAGAUAUGGGAACUUCAGAAAAAUUUCCUCCCUGUGCUUCAGGAGAGGCAGAUAGGCAAGAGACAGCGGGCAGGAGGUGGUCAGAGAUACCUUGCUUCCAUGGCUGCUUCUUUAGUUCAAAAUACUCAGCAUGUCAAAAUGCCAUACUUAGGAGUGUUGUUUUCUGAGCUUUAACAUUCUAAUCCCCAGAACCUGUAAAUGUGCUGCUUUACAUGGUCAAAGGGACUUUGCAACUAUGAUUAAAUAAAGGACUUUUAAAUACAGAGAUUAUUCUGGAUUAUUCAGUGGGCCCAAUGUAAUCCCAUGGGUUCAUUUUUUAAAUUUUUAUUUUACUUUGAGACAGGGUCUUGCUCUGUCACCCAGGCUAGAGUGCAGUGACACAACACAGCUCACUGCAGCCUCAACCUCCCGGGCUCAAGCAAUUCUCCCACCUCGGCCCCGAGUAGCUGGGACUACAGGUACGCACCACCACACCCAGCAGAUUUUUUCAUUUUUUUGUAGAGACAAGGUCUCGCUAUGUUGCCAGGGCUGCUGUCAAACUCCUGGGCUCAAAUGAUCCUCCUGCAUCAGCCUCCCAAAGUGUUAGGAUUACAGGCGUGAGCCACUGCGCACAGCUCCCAUGGGUUCUUAUAGGGGGGAUGCAAGACAGUCAGAGAGAGAGAGAGAGAGACUGGAAGAUGCUAUACUGUAGGCUCUGAAGACAAAGAAAAACGCCAUGCAGGAGGAACACAGCCCUCCUGAUGCCUUGAUUUUAGCCCUGUGAAACCCAAUCUGGACUCAUCACCUUCAGAACUGUAUGAUAAUAAAUUUGUAUUGUUUAAGCC